rnacentral:rRNA from 1 species
GACGAACGCUGGCGGCGUGCUUAACACAUGCCAGUCGAACGGAAAGGCCCUGCUUUUGUGGGGUGCUCGAGUGGCGAACGGGUGAGUAACACGUGAGUAACCUGCCCUUGACUUUGGGAUAACUUCAGGAAACUGGGGCUAAUACCGGAUAGGAGCUCCUGCUGCAUGGUGGGGGUUGGAAAGUUUCGGCGGUUGGAGAUGGACUCGCGGCUUAUCAGCUUGUUGGUGGGGUAGUGGCUUACCAAGGCUUUGACGGGUAGCCGGCCUGAGAGGGUGACCGGCCACAUUGGGACUGAGAUACGGCCCAGACUCCUACGGGAGGCAGCAGUGGGGAAUAUUGCACAAUGGGCGGAAGCCUGAUGCAGCAACGCCGCGUGCGGGAUGACGGCCUUCGGGUUGUAACCCGCUUUCGCCUGUGACGAAGCGUGAGUGACGGUAAUGGGUAAAGAAGCACCGGCUAACUACGUG